rnacentral:lncRNA from 1 species
AGAAAGAGAGAGAGAGAGAGGCGCCGCAGAUUAGCUGGUGAUGGUAUCAUCAAAGAAUUGACUUGGAGAAGCUUGAUAGAAUGCCGGGCUCGGAAAUAGAUGGGGACUGUCGUGGCUUCUCGAAUGUCUUGCAGGUCAACUCGACCGACCGUCGAUGGAUUUCCCUAGCCGGGGGCGGCACUCGUUUAUGGAGCACGGCGCCGCCACGCCCCCUGUCUCGCCAUUUUCNNN